CCUCUCCCUCUGUCCCAGCUCAUUCUCUUGCUCUCUCUCAAAUAAAUAAAUGAAAUCUUUAAGAAAAAAGAAAAUGGAAAGUCCUAGCAUGUCCACGUUCCAGACACAAAGGCUCUGACAUCUCAGUAUGUGCUCCUACUCCUCUGUACUCACAUUUUCUUAAAAGAAACAUUUGUAAUGGUAGGUAGAGUAAUGAUCAAAGAGAGUAUGUCCAAAUCUCUACCUUACCCAGCAAAGGAGUCUUUACAGUGUGACUAAGUAAGGGUUUUGAGAUGGGAAGAUUGUCCUGGAUGACUUGGGUAGGCCCAAAGUAGUCAUGAGGUCCUUAUAGAAUGGAGGCAAAAGGUCAAAAUCAGAUGUGACAAGGGAAGCAACGGCUGGAGUGGCUGGGCUCUGAAGACGGGAAGGCAGCAGGUUCUCCCCUGGAAACUCCGGAAGGAACCAGGCCUACGGAUACUUGGAUUUAACUCCCUAGCGCCCAUUUCCCACUUCUGAGCUCCAGAACCGUAAAGUAAGAGACUCCUUGACAACGGGUCACAGCGGAGGCAGGAAACUGACACACGAUGAACUAUGGUUUCCACUUCGGAAGAGCUGCGUGGACAAUGUGUACAUGAAUACACAGGUACACUGACCAAUAAUGAACACAGUCUAACUCUGUAAAAACUUUUUUUUUUUAAUAUUUUAUUUACUUGCUUGUCAGAGAAAAGAGCGAGUGCAGCAGCAGGGGUAGUGGCAGGCGCAGGGACAAAGAGAAGCAGCAGACUCCGUAUCUGGCCGGGAGCCCGAUGUGGGACUCCCCCCCCCCCCCCCAGGAUUCUGGGAUCACGACCAGGGCCAGGCAGGCGCCCCACACAGUGUAGCCUUCCCGGUCACAUCGCGCAAAUGCCCGAGCGCAGCCGAGCCACACAGCGGCCAUCCAGACCGCGUCCCGCCUUCCCGCGGUACCGUCCCAGUACGCCACCCCAGAGAGGGGCUUCCCCGGUUCGGGGAUCCUUCCAAGCCACUGCCCACCGGAAAUGCUGCGAAGCCUAGCAGCCUCCCCCACGCUCGCGCGUCCCCGCGCCGGGGACGCCAGCGCAGGAGCGCCCAAGGCCUGGGCUCCCCUUUCCGGUUUCAGUGAGUCCCCCGAGGUGCCGUCCUACUUGGUUAAGUUCUAUCCUCCCCACGUGAGUACCCCCAGCUCUCCCCAGGGUUCUCGGGUGCCCGGACAGGGGCGGCGCUGCCCGGCGGGGUGAUGGCCGUGCCCGAGGCCCAGAGUCCUAGGCGGGGAGCCAGGAGAGUCCUCUCCCAGAGCUGCCCACCCCGGGAGGGGGCGGAUGUUCUCUGGGGAACAAGGUCGAGGGUUACUCAACUUGGGGGGAGAUGGCUUAGCCGGGCCCUGCUUGCGCACCGCGCCGGGCGCCGACAGACCGCGGUCUCCCGCCGAGCCUCGAGAAGGCGCGCGGAGAACCAAACCGCACGCAGAGCCGGCGCGCGCACCUGACGCCCCAGCGCAGGGACUCCCAGCAUGCCCCGGGAGGCAGCCAAUGCGCAGGUGCGCACGCGCGGGCGCACUUGGACGCUCUGACGCCACCGGCACGCGCCGACUUCCAGCCCCGGAAAGGCCCCCUCGCCCCGCCAGCCCCCACCCCCACCGGAAACCGCUUCCCCUCCCCAUGCACCCUGCUCUCCAGUGUCACUUCAGGACCUCGCGUCUACCCUGGCAGCGUGGCCGCAGGAGCGCCCGGUGCGUGUUCACAGGCGACCCGACCAAGGUCGGCGCCGAUAAGAGCGAACCCCGGGCACAGACCGCAGGAGUUACUGACCUCCAGAAGACAGGCUGCGAGAGGGACAGCCCACUCCCGACAGGGGCGGAGCCUGGCGGGGCGCGUUCUUGCUGCGGCGUCGGGACGGGCGGUGGGGCGGGGCCUCGCGUGGGGCGAAGGCGGGCUCUGCGGGGCGGGGCGGGGCUUCGUGUGGGGCGGCCGCAGGCUCGGCGCGGGGGAGGGGCCUGGGCGUCGGGGGCGGGGACUCGCGUGGGGCGAAAGCGGGCUGCGCUCCGCGUGAGUGGAGUGCGCGGGUCUCGCGGCUCCCACGUGGCGGCGGCGCGGAGCGGUGGUCCCGGCGCGGCAUCCCCCGCGUCCGGCCUGGCAGGUGCGCCUCGGACGUCCGGCCCCGGCGGUGACCUAAGGGGACGGCGCCGGGGGCUCCGUCGGGCGACGGGGAGUGAGGCUGGGGCCGGGCGGGCGCCCCGCGGUCCUCCGCGCCGCCCCGCCCCGUGGGUGGAGCCGGACGGAACGUAGCGCAGACGGACGCGAGGACAGAUCCGUGCGGAAGGUCGGGUUACCGCCGGGACCGCGCGUGAUCCGGGGCGACGCUCGUUUCUCUGCACCGUCCAGACCUCCUGACGGCCCCGUCCCCGCGCGUCCGUUCGGGAAGCGCGUCUUGUGGAGCCCCGUGCCCGGCUGCGUCGUAGCUGCCGGGGCUGCGACCCGCAGGGACCCUCGUGCGGGAAGCGGCGGGGCGGCCGGGCCCGCGAGGAGCGGCCGGGAGGGGAGGCCGGUGUCCCCGGAGCGCCCCGCCCGCGGCCGGAGGUGGGAAGCUGGGCGCGACCGACGCGGGAGGAAAGGCCUGAGGGCGGCCGCAGGGAGCCAGGACGACGGCCCGAGGGGUGGGAGGUGCUCAAGAGAACACGCGCGGCUUCGGGCGAAGCUUUGCUGUAGCCGCUUUCGUGGACAUUGUCCCGUCCCGCUGCUUUGCAGCCACAGCGCGCUGGCCGCGACCGGCGCCUCCAAAAUCCGUUUCCCGCGCUCUGGGAGCCCUUCUGUGGGCCGGCGUCCCUGUGGGCGCCCGGAGGACGGAGGGCCGAGCCGGGCCAAGCUGCGGCUGGAGCCACAGGUGGGACAACACUCGGGGCAGCACAGGUCCCGGGCAUCCGGGCGUGACGCAGCUGGGUUGUUCAGAGGAGGGAGAAGCCCGCAUCCGUUAGAGCCGCCUGCUGCCCGGCGCGUCCACCGCCCAGUCCUGCCGUCUCUGUCUUUGUGUCCCUAGCCAAGCACUGUCGGGGCGGGGCCCAGGGUGAGUGCAGUGUCCGAGCGCGCAAUGCAGGUGUUCUUGCUCGAACAACGCUUACGCGCUGGGGUCCCUGAAUGCUAUGACUUCAUUUUGGCUGCUUAUCAAGGAGAAAGUGGUGGGCUGGUCCCCAGCUCUCAGAAUUGACAUUUUGGCAGAUGAAGUUUGCAAACAAGGGAACUGCAUCCCAGAGCCGCUAAUGAGACCCCAGAGAGCCGCUCCUCCGGUGGCCUUUACAGGAGAUGGUGGCGCACAGGGCCUGGAACCAGCUGACCUGGGGUGGCCUUCCCCGUGGUGACCGGCACCGUCAUUUUCGUCUGGACACUAGCGCCACCCAAGUCCCUCCCUCUGAGCAGUGAGGAACCCAGACUCGGAGCAGCUUUAUAGAAAUGGUAGUAUACUGCACAUUAUCUUCUUUGCUGAACAGCUGUGCAAGUGAGUGACAGCCACCCAUUUCAUUGUGAGCAGGCAUGGUCUAGUUGGUAUCCCUGCUAUGUUUUCUACGGCGGGCACACAGCUUCCCGAUGUACAGCUGAGUGUUUCCGAAAGAGUGGGUUUUGGCUAUUAUGUGUAGCAAUGCAAUGAACACACAUGUCCUUCACCGAGUACUAUGUCAAGAGCCCAUAUCUUAAAUCAUCUUAGCAUCCCAACAAAUGGACUGUCUCCCCUCUGAGAUGCUCUUCCUUGUGCCAGCGAGGCCGCUGGCUCACCAACUGCUGUAGUUACAACAGAAACAGGCAGAGCACUUAGCUUGUACCCCAACCGAAACCCAUCUUCCUGAUUUCUUGCCACGCUUGCCUGAAGUGCUGAUGAGCUUCCCUACAAGGACGGCAGCUUCCACCUGCCAGGCCAGAAAAGCCCUGAGCAAUGGAAUGCCUAGAAGACACCCACCCCACAUCCCCUCCUCAACCAGUACAACACGCUGAAUGCAUACUGGCCGCCCCCACCCCAGGAUUACAUGCUCCGUGCCUGCUCUCUUGCACGUACCCCCGAACCUUUCCCUGUAAAACCCUUGGGGUCUGUCCCGCCAGCAGAGAGGUAGGAAGUUGAGGCCCGAGCCUGCCACCUCCCCUGGUUGCCGGCACCCAAAAUAAAUGGCUCCCUCUCUCCCAAACCUUAGUGUCUUGAGCUUUUGGCUUCUCUCACCAUCAGUUUACCAAGCUGGUUCAGCAGCAGCAUUGGCAAACCUGGCCAGGAGCUUUGUCCAGCCCCCCGGGAUGCCCCUGGACCGAACAGGUGGCCACAGCAGCCCGCCACGGCUCUGCCCGUUCAUGUCCUGAGUUAGCAGCUGGGACGGAUCAGGGAAGUCAUCUCUCGGGACGCUGGUUGUGAGGUCUGUUUCAGAGGACACGGCCAUGCCAGCCUUCUUUGGGGUAGGGCUUACAUGCUGUUUUUUUUCCAUUCCCUGACUUUUAACCCUUCUAGAUUCUUUUAUUUAAGGUGUUCUCUUAGAAUUGGAAUGUAGUUGACUUCUGGGUUUUUUUUUCCUAGUCUGAUGAUUGCGCUUUUCAUUGGAAAAUUUAGGCUGAAAAUUUACAUUUAAUUUAAUCACUGAUAUAUUUUGGGCGUUUUGGUUUUUCUGCCUAUUCUAUUUCUGUUUUCUCUUUUUUUUCUUUUGUCGUCUUCUGGGUUUUUAUUUUACCAUUUUCUCCGCUUUGGUAGUUUUGCAUUGUUUUAGUAUUAUUUUAGUAGUUACUCUAGGGAUUAUACAUAUGUCUUUGACUUAUUAAAGCUUAACAUAAGCUUAUACUUUAGCCGUUCCCUGGACAAUCCUAGGACUUUAGAGCAUUUUGUCUUUAUUUGUGACUAAUGAUAAUUAAUAAUAAAUAUUAAGUAAAUAAGUUAUUAUUAAGUUAUGCAGUCAGUAUUCAUUUAGAAUUUUGUUGCUCUUCAAUCCUGACAUCUUUCUACUUCCAUCGGGGGUUCCUCUUUUUUUUUUUUUUUUUUUUUUUCUGCCUGAAGAACACCUUCUACCAUGUCACUUGACAAUGAAAGUUUACUGGUGAUAAAUACUGCAGUUUUUGCUUUUCUGAAAAUUUCUUGGUGUGUCCUCUAUUUUUGAAGGAUAUUCAUUACUGGGUAUAGAAUUAUAGGUUGGCAGUCAUUUCUGUCAGUACUCUGAAAACGGGACUCUGUUGUCUUCCGGCUUUUCUACUUCCUGUCAGUCUUCCUGUCACGCUCUAAAGAAGGCAUGUCUUUGUGGGUGCUGGAAGAGUUCCUCUCUAUCUUCAGUUUCACAUUCACUGGGCUGUGCCUCGCUGUGCCUCACCCUGACUUACCCUUCUCGAGGCAUGAAGUACUUCUAGGAUAGUAGCUUGAUACCUUUCAUCAGUUUGGGGAAAUUCUCAUCUCUUCUUUCUUCAGAUAUUUUGGAUGCCGCUUUCUCUUUUUAUUUUUUAAGAUUUUAUUUAGUUACUUGAGAGAGAGUGAAUGAG